rnacentral:rRNA from 1 species
UUGCUUCUCUGAUGUUAGCGGCGGACGGGUGAGUAACACGUGGAUAACCUACCUAUAAGACUGGGAUAACUUCGGGAAACCGGAGCUAAUACCGGAUAAUAUUUUGAACCGCAUGGUUCAAAAGUGAAAGACGGUCUUGCUGUCACUUAUAGAUGGAUCCGCGCUGCAUUAGCUAGUUGGUAAGGUAACGGCUUACCAAGGCAACGAUGCAUAGCCGACCUGAGAGGGUGAUCGGCCACACUGGAACUGAGACACGGUCCAGACUCCUACGGGAGGCAGCAGUAGGGAAUCUUCCGCAAUGGGCGAAAGCCUGACGGAGCAACGCCGCGUGAGUGAUGAAGGUCUUCGGAUCGUAAAACUCUGUUAUUAGGGAAGAACAUAUGUGUAAGUAACUGUGCACAUCUUGACGGUACCUAAUCAGAAAGCCACGGCUAACUACGUGCCAGCAGCCGCGGUAAUACGUAGGUGGCAAGCGUUAUCCGGAAUUAUUGGGCGUAAAGCGCGCGUAGGCGGUUUUUUAAGUCUGAUGUGAAAGCCCACGGCUCAACCGUGGAGGGUCAUUGGAAACUGGAAAACUUGAGUGCAGAAGAGGAAAGUGGAAUUCCAUGUGUAGCGGUGAAAUGCGCAGAGAUAUGGAGGAACACCAGUGGCGAAGGCGACUUUCUGGUCUGUAACUGACGCUGAUGUGCGAAAGCGUGGGGAUCAAACAGGAUUAGAUACCCUGGUAGUCCACGCCGUAAACGAUGAGUGCUAAGUGUUAGGGGGUUUCCGCCCCUUAGUGCUGCAGCUAACGCAUUAAGCACUCCGCCUGGGGAGUACGACCGCAAGGUUGAAACUCAAAGGAAUUGACGGGGACCCGCACAAGCGGUGGAGCAUGUGGUUUAAUUCGAAGCAACGCGAAGAACCUUACCAAAUCUUGACAUCCUUUGACAACUCUAGAGAUAGAGCCUUCCCCUUCGGGGGACAAAGUGACAGGUGGUGCAUGGUUGUCGUCAGCUCGUGUCGUGAGAUGUUGGGUUAAGUCCCGCAACGAGCGCAACCCUUAAGCUUAGUUGCCAUCAUUAAGUUGGGCACUCUAAGUUGACUGCCGGUGACAAACCGGAGGAAGGUGGGGAUGACGUCAAAUCAUCAUGCCCCUUAUGAUUUGGGCUACACACGUGCUACAAUGGACAAUACAAAGGGCAG